GAUUCCCCUAGUAACUGCGAGUGAAGCGGGAAAAGCUCAAAUUUGAAAUCUGGCAGUCUUUUUUUUCUUCUUUGGCUGUCCGAGUUGUAAUCUAGAGAAGUGCUUACCUGCACUGGACCAUGUAUAAGUCUCCUGGAAUGGAGCGUCACAGAGGGUGAGAAUCCCGUCUUUGACAUGGACUGCCAGUGUGUUGUGGUGUGCUCUCAAAGAGUCGAGUUGUUUGGGAAUGCAGCUCUAAAUGGGUGGUAAACUCCAUCUAAAGCUAAAUAUUGGCGAGAGACCGAUAGUGAACAAGUACCGUGAGGGAAAGAUGAAAAGGACUUUGGAAAGAGAGUUAAACAGUAUGUGAAAUUGUUGAAAGGGAAACGCUUGAAGUCAGUUAUGUUGGCUAGGGAUCAACCUAGCUAUUUUUUGCUGGGUGAAUUUCCUAGUCUGACAGGCCAACAUCAGUCUUGACUGCUGGAAAAGAGCAGAGGGAAUGUGGCACCUUUGGGUGUGUUAUAGCCCUUUGUCAUAUGUAGCAGUUGUGACUGAGGGAUGCAGCGUGCCAUGAGGCUGGGUUUCGACCACUAUCACGCUUAGGAUGUUGGCUUUUAAUGGCUUCAAUCGACCCGUCUUGAAACACGGACCAAGGAGUCUAACAUGCCUGCGAGUGUUUGGGUGGAAAACCCUUGUGCACAAUGAAAGUGAAAGUUGAGAUCCCUGUCGUGGGGAGCAUCGACGCCCGGACCUGAGCUUUUAGCAAUGGAUCCGCGGUAGAGCAUGCAUGUUGGGACCCGAAAGAUGGUGAACUAUGCCUGAAUAGGGCAAAGCCAGAGGAAACUCUGGUGGAGGCUCGUAGCGAUUCUGACGUGCAAAUCGAUCGUCAAAUUUGGGUAUAGGGGCGAAAGAC
rnacentral:rRNA from 1 species